rnacentral:tRNA from 1 species
AAACUAUUUUUCUUUGUUUUGAAAACAAGGGUUAAGAUAUUUGUCUUGUAGUUUU